rnacentral:lncRNA from 1 species
AGGAGUAAGUAGGAUUACAUGAUCCUCUCUUUCCAUUCAAUGGGGUGCUCUUCAUGGCAUGUAGGGAUGUCAUUGUGAGGUCCCAUGCAAAAGAAAAUAAAAAGAGAAAACUUACUUUCUUACAAAACUCUAGAUCUUGAAAUCCUAGGUGUUGUUGUAUGUGAUACAAGUUGUGAAGAAAUUAGUUACAUCUAAUCUUGAUUAA